AUUUUUAACUGUGAUGAUAAUUCACUGAUACUCAAUGUUUAUGAAGUCUAAGUACCGUACUCAUUGCUCUUCAUUUGCUUACAAAUAAUUAAACAUGAUUUAGUUAAUUCAGCCAUUACUUAUAUAUUGCAAAUAUGCUAUUCAUACAAUUUCAUUAAUGUAUAUUAAACCCCAUUUAGAACUGAAAUCCAGUACCUGACACUAUAAGAGCACAAUGACAAUCCACUGGCAUCCACACACAGGCUUGAAACUGUUUUAAAUCCAGAACUUGUGUGUCUUUGUAUAUCAUCUUUGAUUCACUUGUUGGAGAAGGUUAUUGAGUGAUCUUUUUCAUACAAAUGGCUGAAACUUGAUCGGGAUCUUAAAUCUUCCUUCAAGUUGGUUAAUGUUAAAACAAUUCAAUUAUGAUAACAUUAAUUAUUUUUUGUUGCAAACAUUUUUCUGGCUAAUUAUUCUUGUCGAAUGAAUGGAAAAUGGGAAACAUUAACUCUACUUGUUACCCUUUAAUUUUACUGUAAGUGCAUCAAAUUGCAAGAUUCAUUGUACUGAUAUUGCAUAAGACAUCCGACGAUAUCAAGUAUUAAUCGUUGACACAGUUUAUGUAAUCAUGUGAUAUCCUCCAAGGAACAUUCCAAUCUAUGUCAUGGUCCUCCAGGGAUGUUGAUUGGGGGACCACGUAAUUGAGGCUACUGUUACAGUAUCAUGUAUUCAGUGACUGGAUGCUUACAGAGGUGAGAGGUUGAGUGGCUAAAUGUUGAAGGAAUUGAGCAGUGUAUUCUGUGUGUUGUUUGUUAUCACAGUCAUAUUUAGUAUUUAUUUCAUGUACAUUUACAUUCAGAGUAUGAGGAUGCUAAUUCUUUCUGCUUCAAUAGAUAUUGUAUUCAUAGGAGGCUGCAGGAAUAAUUGAAUCAUUUUACAUUGUGAUUUCACAUAAAUUUUUGUUAUAAAAUGAUUACCGUAAUUUCCAUUUCCUGUGAAUAUUUUUUCUUCUUUAAACUAAAAUCCCCAGCCUUCCUUACUGUGGAGGUUAAUUCUUUAUCAAUAUAUGACGACACAAUUUAGGUACUUAAGGAAACCUUUGAGACCGAUUGUUUUAUUUUUUUUAAUAAAGCGGGUGAUUAUGUACUUAUUUAAAUGGCAUGCUCCAAUUUAUAGGCAUAUUUUAUGUGCUUUAUGUCAAAAUGUCAGCAUGAAGUAAAUGCAUGUACUACAAUCAAGUUUUUACUGAAUGUGUAUGCUGUGUGUUUAAAAUGAUUACUGAGAAUGCUAUUUAUUGUCUAUCUUUAACUCAUUAGUUUGUAGGAAUUUGAUUAGAUUGCUUGAUUACAUGUUUUAAUGUAUUUAUAAAUAAUAAAAAGCAAUAUUAUUU
rnacentral:misc_RNA from 1 species